rnacentral:rRNA from 1 species
UACGUAGGGUGCGAGCGUUAAUCGGAAUUACUGGGCGUAAAGCGUGCGCAGGCGGCUUCUCAAGUCAGGGGUGAAAGCCCAGAGCUCAACUCUGGAAUUGCCUUUGAGACUGAGUGGCUUGAGUACGAGAGAGGUGAGUGGAAUUCCCAGUGUAGAGGUGAAAUUCGUAGAUAUUGGGAAGAACACCGGUGGCGAAGGCGGCUCACUGGCUCGUAACUGACGCUCAUGCACGACAGCGUGGGGGAUCAAACAGG